GCCUUUUAUCACUAUGUGCAAUCACAAUGAAGAAUCCUUGGCUGGUGCUUUCACAAGGCAUAUGACAGAUGUUGCUUUGAAGUAUAUUUCUUGUCAUGCUUCACCCAUAUGCUAUGAGAAGCAUUAUAAAGAAUACAUGAUAGCUUCAUUGCCCCAAUUGAAAACUUUAGAUAACUUGCCUAUCAGAAAGAUUGACAGGGAAAGGGCUGCUGUUACAUAUUCACAAUACUUUGAGUACUUACCAUACAAACGGAAAUAUAAAGAGAGUGUUGUUCGUAUUUUGAAUAGGCGUGAAAUAAAAGAAAAUCGUACUUUUUUUCAGACAAAGAAUCAUAAGCGUUCAUAUCCUUCCAAAAACUCACAAUACUUCUAUACCCGGUCUUUUUGUGCCGCCAAAGUGGGUUCUUCAGCUUGGCCUUCUUUGCAUCCACUUUCUGUGUCAGGAUGUGAUUUGGGUGGUGGAAGGAGGAGCUUUCGUCCAAGACAGUUCGAGUAUCAUCCUUCUAUCUCCAGCCUCUUGGUAUUUGGAACUUUAGAUGGUGAGGUGGUUGUAGUCAAUCAUGAGAAUGAGAAAAUAGUAAGUUAUGUUCCCUCACUUGGAGCAAUGAACAGUGUAUUGGGCCUAUGCUGGCUCAAGCGUUAUCCAUCCAAGGUACAUGAUCACUGCAUUGAGCAUGGUAAAGAAAGUUUAAAUUGUAGUUAAAAUAUAUGUGUAAUGCAUGUGAAAAAUUAUUAUUAUAAGAGUUUUUCUAAUCCCAUUUAAAGAGUCAAGUUGUACGUGUGAUGCACAUGAGAAGUCAUUCUUUUAAUAUUUUUGGUACUAACUGAUGCUGCCUGCGGAUCUCGGGUUGUCAAACUAGUGUAGUAUAUCUUGGAUGGCCUGCAACUACAAGAAGAUGUGAGGUUAGCGGCCUAAAGGCAGCCGCUCCAACGCUCAAGUGAGAGGGUGUUUUUUUUUUUUUUAAUAAAUUUGGGAGAGAGUGAUGAAAUAGAGUAAUAGCUUAUGGAAAACAAAUUACUUACCUAGGUAGGUGUUAGGAGCCUAUUUAUAAGGUGAGGAGUGAUGUAUUAGCGUGAUCCUCAGGAUUUGCCAAGCUGUACGCCUUUAUAUGUUAUGGAAAUGUACCUAAUCAGCGAUAUUACUGAUGGUGAUCUCUCUUGUUUUAACGGCUUUUGUCCUAUCUCUAUGCUUCUGAACUCAAUCCCAAUUAUCUGAUCUUUAUCCGAACUAGAUCACUGAAAUGUCUUUUCCAAUCUCCUUGUUUUCGGUUUUGUACCUUCUGCCUUAUCAUCAGACUGUUUUCAGACUGUUUGAUUGAUGAAUUCGAGCUCCACAUGAUCGGAUCGGAUCUGGGGGAUCAACCCUUUAGGGACUGGUUCGGAUCUUGGGGUAUGCUUUAUCAUUACUAACCAAUUGCAAUAAAAAAAAAAUUAGGCAUUAUUUAUUGAGAAAACCAAAUAUAGAUUUACUUCAUGUCAAAAUAUAAAUAAACAUGAAGCCUAUUUGUUUAUAUGUGUCUUAGGCUUGACUAAAUUGUUGCGAUCUUGAUAAGACUAAUUGUAACUUACUUCGUUUUGCCUCCUACUUGUUGAUCUGUCUUUCCAAAGAAAAAGAGGAUAAAACUUAGUUGGUUAAAGUUUGACUCUGAAAAACAAUGGAGAGGUUGUAUUUUUCUUCUUUCACUCUUUCAUAUAUGUAGUCUGUAUAGAUAUAGAUUUUGCAAUUAUUGCUAGUACAAAUUCUAGAAUGUGAUGUCAUCAUUCUUUAGUAGUGUUGUUCCCUCACAGAAAACCAUUUGGGCCUUAAGAUAAAUUUACAUAGAGAGAUUUAGCAUCUGAUAAUAUAAUAGCGCUGAAGCUACAAAUAUUGGCUAUUACUGGGAGCUUGUAAACUUAUAUACGAAUGCCUCAGAAUAUAAUUCUUAUUAUCCUGAGGCAAGAAAUCCCUUUAAAAUCAUGGAUGCAGAUCAUAUUCCAUGAGAGGGUAACAAUUUUUAGUGUGCAAAUGCCAGCAUCCCAUGGGAAUAUUACAUGAAACCAAACUGCUUCUGAGAGAGAGAGAGAGAGAUUUUUCUGAAUUUUGAGGUGAAAUUUGUGGAAAUGAAAAGUGGCUGGAUUGGAUCCGAGUAUAUAUUCGAUUGGUGAAAUUGAGGAAAAAAAUUGUGAAGAAGCAAAACAAAACCCUAG
rnacentral:misc_RNA from 1 species